rnacentral:piRNA from 1 species
UCGUCACUUGCUAUGUCCUCACUGGC